rnacentral:tRNA from 1 species
GCCUGGCUAGCUCAAUUGGUAGAGCAUGGGACUCUUGAUCUCAGGGUCAUGAGUUCAAGUGCCACAUUGGGCA